rnacentral:rRNA from 1 species
UCGAGAAUUUUUCACAAUGGGCGCAAGCCUGAUGGAGCGACGCCGCGUCGGGGAUGAAGGGUUUCGAUCCGUAAACCCCUGUCAUUUGCGAACAAACCUUGAUUGUGAAUAGCGAUCGAGCUGAUUGUAGCGGAAGAGGAAGGGACGGCUAACUCUGUGCCAGCAGCCGCGGUAAUACAGAGGUCCCAAGCGUUGUUCGGAUUCACUGGGCGUAAAGGGUGCGUAGGUGGUCGGUGAAGUUCGGUGUGAAAGCUCGGAGCUCAACUCCGAAACGGCAUUGAAAACUCAUCGGCGGGAGGGUCGGAGGGGAGACUGGAAUUCUCGGUGUAGCAGUGAAAUGCGUAGAUAUCGAGAGGAACACCAGUGGCGAAGGCGAGUCUCUGGACGACUCCUGACACUGAGGCACGAAAGCCAGGGGAGCAAACAG